CGAACCGUGAAAGCGUGGCCUAU
rnacentral:snRNA from 1 species